UAAACAUCACUAAGCACGCAAAAUGUUAAACCACAUGUCAAUGGUGGAGUGAACAUGAUUACAAGAAAUGAAGUGAGUCAGCAUUUCAUAUCACAAUAUCAUUUUAAUCAGCUACAUGAAUUCAUUUCAGGUUCCCUGAAAUCUGGAAUAAAGCUUAUAAAAAGGCUCUUCAGAUUUUCAAAUUUAUGAAGAGCUACUUCAUGUCUAAAUCCAAGUUGGUGACAACUACAUACAUACAACUCCACAAGAUAAAUAAAUGGUGCAGCUGUUCAGCACCAUGACAACCUGAAAGAACUACAUUCUGCUUGAUCCAUGUAAAUAGGUUCCAGAACUAUUCAUUAGCUUUAAAUGAUAUUUCAUCAAUAAACAUAUAGCAUUUAUUGGAUUUAUAAUUUAUAGGAUGCAUUAGAAAAAACGUAAGAGUACAGACUAGUAGGUGAAGUCAAAUAAUAGAUUAUAUAUUUCUAAUAUAUCUUCUCAUUCACAAACCUAUUUAGAUUGAAUGUUUGAACAAGUAUAGGUCUGUCACCAACUUGUAUUAAAAUUUGAUCAUAAGAAUUGGAGAUGCUUAUGAUUCAAACAUUGGAGCACUUGAUCAAAGAGAUUUCAUUACCAUAUUAGAAAACCACUCACUAAAAUCAUGAACUUGUAUUGGGGACUCAACAGCUGGUUUAUACAUCGAACAAAAUAGAUUGGAUUAUAUCAUAUACUGGAUAUGCACUGUGUCAGAUAAAAGUAGAAUUCAUAGACAAAAGCUCUCAUUUUAGAUAUUUUAAACGCCUUAUGACCAGGAGAGGGUUAAA
rnacentral:misc_RNA from 1 species